GGCGGGCAAUAUCAGUUGAAAGUUCUUAUCGAUGUGGUAUCAACUGUGAUUUGAGGUUUAUAAAGACGGUCACAUGGAUCAGUGAAAUACAGUUUGUGACAAGUCCAGCAGAUCAAGUAGUUUUGGCCAUCUUUCUCAUUCAGCAUGUACAAGGUAUGAUGAAUGACCAGGCGAAAAGCAGAAGUUUAAGAUCGGACGAGACUUUUGAUAUCAAGUUUGCUGCUUAUUCUGUGCUCACUAUGCUAAAUCGGACAAAAAGAAAAAGGGUGGGGAUGUAGGGGACGUUAAAACUUUUGACUUUCAAGAAACUAUUAUAACAGAAACAUGUCGAAUAUGCCAGAUAUAUUCAAGUAUGAGUUGUGCCAAGUUCCAUGUUUGACAAAACGGACUUCCAAGAGAGACUAACAAACCGAAUUUAUCCGAAGCUAUUUGGAAUAUGGGUGACUGUCAAGCUAACACCUUACCACAAUCACCAACAUAUGUUUUAGAUGGUGGGUCAUUGUUGCAAGGUGUUCCAUGGUAGAAAAAUAGUACAUUUCAGCAGAUAUGCCAACGAUACCUCCGGAGUAUUCAACACCACUAUGGCAACAGAGCAAAAGUUGUGUUUGACGGGUAUUCCUUCUCACCAAGUCUCAAUGAUGUUACACAUAUGAGGAGAACGAAAGGAAAAAUAGGGACUAAGGCACUAUUUAACCUUGAAACGACGUUCAGUUCAGAUAAGGAAAAAAUCAUCAACAACACAGAAAACAAGCAGAACUUUCUAACCAUCCUGAGCAAAUACCUGGGAGACAACGUGGAUGCAAUAAAAGCAGACGAUGACGCUAAUACGGUGAUAGUAAGCACUGCAAUUCAAGAAGAAACAUCGCAUAAUACGGUUGUUGUCGGUAAGGAUACUGGCGUGCUUGUCUUAUUGUGUCUCCAUGGAGAUGAUUCAAAUCACAAUCUACUGUAUAACUCAGAUAUUUGGCGAGCGGACAAAUAAAGUAUAUGAUAUCAAGAAAACGAAGAAUGUCCUUGGACCAGAGUUAUGCAACAUGCUUACGUUAAUACAUGCAUACACAGGUUGUGAUACGACUUCUAGGAUAUAUGGUAUCAGCAAAGAAGCCGUACUGAAGUUUUUCAAAACCAGUCCCGAAUUCAGACAGAUCAUUGAGAUAUUUAACGAAGAAAAGCCAGACGUUAACGAGAUAACAACUCGUAGUGAAGAGGCAAUGAUUCUUCUCAACAACGCUGUUCCUUCAGAAGGGCUCGAUAUCCUGAGAUUCCGGAAGUUUACCCAGAAGGUUUGCACAAGCAAAACAUCCGUCCAAUUGGAGACAUUACCACCGACCUCUGCUACCUUUCGCUUUCACUCACUGCGUUCAUACCUACAGACACAGAUAUGGCGAGGAAACAACACACUGGAUGCAGUAGAUUGGGACUGGGUAAUAUCCAACAACAAAUUGAUUCCAGUAAGGACACAUCUUCUUCCUGCUCCUGAACCUCUACUCAAAGUCAAACGCUGUAAUUGCCGACAAAGUUGUGACUCAAAACGAUGUACGUGUAGGAAACAUGGACUUGAUUGUUUACAAGGCUGUUGGAACUUUCGAGGAAACUGUUCAAAUUCUUCCGCCGUCAAUGAUGAUGACGACCUUGUGUCUGAAACCUGAACGUAUUAUAUGUGCGACCUUUAUAAAGAGAUACAAAAUUGUAAAAGGAUUCAAUGCAUUUAUGAUAAUAUUUGAAAGCAUUCAGGUAUUUCAAUAAUUACACACAUCAAAAAACCUUGAUUUUGUUAAGAGAGCAAAACUUGCCCGCUCUAAAUUGAUAAAAUGUAUUCAAACCAAUUAUUACACUCUUAUAUAAUAUGUUUUCGCGACCCCACAUAUCGUUUUACUCUUACAUGUUAUUCUUAUAUAGAGAUAAUAAUAAUCUUAAAUGGCAUCAAAUCAGUUUAUGCUCUUAAAUUUUAUAUUACAAAUGAAGUUGAACAUAAUGGCUUUGCAAAAAUAUGGUGUUAACAAUUUGUGUACAGUUAUUUUAAUAAGUAUUUCAUAUAAAAAUGGCUGAAGUAUAUAUUGUCUUCACAUUAUAUUAACCAUGAAAAUAUUAGAAGGAAUUUAAGUUAGAUAAUAAGUUGCUUAUUUUUACUUCAAUGAGAUAUCCUUGGGCUGCAUAAAUGUUUCUGGUUGCAAUAAAUUAUCUUCUUAGAAGAAUGAUCUUGAGAAUACAAUGGACAGUGUUUAAAAGAAGUGGGUGGGGUAAAAAUGACCCACGACAUACGAUAAAUAUGAUCAAAAUAAAAAGAGAAGUCAACUUAUUAUCACCAGCAUCUAGACAUAUUUUGUAUGUCGUGUAUCCUUCAAAAAUAAUGAAAACUAAUGCUUAAUGGCCAGACGCAUUUCAUAUAUGCAUAUUUUUGUAAAUUUCCACUGGUUUCAGCUGAAG